UCCAGGGAAGCUGUGAGGGGUUCAGCGUUAGCCUUUUAAGCUAAAAGUUGGUGGCUCCCAAACCACCCCUUGUGA
rnacentral:tRNA from 1 species